AAUUAAAAACCCUAACCGAGGCCAUCGAACUACGCAAACUGUCAGCACACUCUCAUCAGUUUAAGAGAACAUGUGUGACCAGCUCCAUUCAGGUGGAUACUCUCCUCUUCUUCACUAAAAUGGUGUCACAUCCUACAACCUCAUCAUCUGCAGAGUGAAACUGCCACUCAAUCACACCAAAAUACAGAUAAUGAUUAACUUAGAGGCAUCAUAGAGGAUUGUGAAGAUAUUUCACUGGCGCUUGGUCUUCAAUACACUAUUUUAUGUUCUAUUUUGUUUUACUUCUUUAAGCAUUUAUUCAUGUUCAGUGUCCAUUGUCAGUCAUUAAUGUAUUCUGCUUCUAACUGUUGUUAGAACACUCAUUUUUGCUACAAUUUCACGUCAUUAAAAAAAAAUAA